rfam:Brassica rapa chromosome A1, whole genome shotgun sequence.
CCAAUGUUUCUUGCUUAAAUGAGUAUUCCAUGAAAGUGAUUCUCACUCACGCAUGAGUUGGGUACUCUCUUCAUGAGAUGCUCAUUUGAGCAAGCAACGUUUG